rnacentral:misc_RNA from 1 species
CGGGGGGCUGCUCCUCGGCACAAUAACGAACCCCGGCGCGGUAUGCGCCAAGGAACAUGAAUACAAGCGUGCCCUUCCUCGCUCGGUUCGCCGGGCAAGGGGGUGGCACCAAGUCGUAUAUAACAUUAAACGACUCUCGGCAACGGAUAUCUCGGCUCUCGCAUCGAUGAAGAACGUAGCGAAAUGCGAUACUUGGUGUGAAUUGCAGAAUCCCGUGAACCAUCGAGUCUUUGAACGCAAGUUGCGCCCGAAGCCUUCGGGCCGAGGGCACGCCUGCCUGGGCGUCACGCAUCGCGUCUCCCCCACCCCACCCUGCGUGGGAAGGGGGAGGAGGAUGGCCUCCCAUGCCUCACCGGGCGUGGAUGGCCUAAAUAAGGAGCCCCAGGCCACGAGCUGUUGCGGCGUUAGGUGGUAGACAAGGCUUUUAGCCUCGAAUG